GACGAACGCUGGCGGCGUGCCUAAUACAUGCAAGUAGAACGCUGAAGGAGGAGCUUGCUCUUCUGGAUGAGUUGCGCACGGGUGAGUAACGCGUAGGUAACCUGCCUGUUAGCGGGGGAUAACUCUUGGAAACGAUAGCUCAUACCGCAUAACAGUAGAUGUUGCAUGACAUUUACUUAAAAGGUGCAAUUGCAUCACUACCAGAUGGUCCUGCGUUGUAUUAGCUAGUUGGUGGUGUAACGGCUCACCAAGGCGACGAUACAUAGCCGACCUGAUGAGGUGAUCGGCCAAACUGGGACUGGGAAAAGGCCCAGACCUCUAAGGGAGGCAGCAGUAGGGAAUCUUCGGGAAUGGACGGAAGUCUGACCGAGCAAAGCCGCGUGAGUGAAGAAGGGUUUCGGAUCGUAAAGCUCUGUUGUAAGAGAAGAAAGAGUGUGAGAGUGGAAAGUGCACAUUGUGACGGUAUCUUACCAGAAAGGGACGGCUAACUACGUG
rnacentral:rRNA from 1 species